ensembl:lncRNA
GCAGGGUCAUGUUGAGUUUAUGCUUGUGUUUGUACAUACGGCAUCGUAUCGAGGAGUGGGGAUGAGUUGAAAUAUAAGUGAUAAUAUGACAGUGUAGAAUGGAAAUAUCCCUCCCCACCGCCACCACCAGCACACACACACACACACACACACACACACACACACACACACACACACACACACACACACACACGAACACACACACACACACACACACACACACGAACACACACACACUGCCUCCAGCUGCGGGAGCUUUUGUCAUGUGGACGCUCUUUCUGCCGCUUCCUCAAUCCAGAAUAGCCUGACGGGGUCCGUGUCACUUUUAAGUUUCAGGGGGAACUUUGAGUGUUCUUUCCAGCAGCACAUAAUGUAUCAUCAAAGCCAGGAUUAAAAGUUUUUUUUCUCUCUUCUCGUCUUUUUUUUAAUUUUUUUUUUCUAUGGAGGAGCAGCUUUGGCUGCUGCUGGAAGAUUUAAGCUUAUUAGCUUAAAGAGCAGGGGAAGGGAGGUUUCAACUGAUGUAUGGCAGACUUCAAAGAUGGUUUAAUCUGUCAGUACACAUGCCCCGUACAGGCUAUUUAUACUGGGGAGCCAUGAUUCUUCCAAAUGACUUCCUCCAUCUACCCCUCUGUAGCUCGGGGUUUUCUGUUUGUCAGUGUGUCUAGACAGCUGAGAUGGCUCUUCCUGUGCUUUAACACCAUUUCCCCCGGCUAACACAGACGAUUUUUGAUCUGCUGUGAGUGAUGAAAGCGUUGCGUGUUUGAUGUGUGCUGUUGUUUUGUAACAUGUCUCGUGUGUCUUUUCAGCUUAAUGCAUAAUUGGUGCUGAUUUUUGGUGGUGCAAGUGAGAAGUUCAAACACACACACAGCUAUAUAAUAUUUAAAAUUCAAGUACAGCUUACAUAACAGCAGUGUGACACAAACUCCCAGUUUAUUAAGGACUGCACUGCGUUCACUUCCUGAUUACCUCAAAGAGCAGAUGUUGAUCAAUAACUAUCAUUAUGGAGCAGGAAUGUCACCCCUGCUAACACACAACCUCAAUUCAUCUAUGCAGGAGACCUUUAACGGCCACUUUUCAUGACAGAUUGGUGCAAAACUUAUUCACAGAGUUGACCUCAGAGUUCAUCUGCUUUUGGAAAGUG